GAUGAACGCUGGCGGCGUGCCUAAUACAUGCAAGUCGAGCGAACAGACGAGGAGCUUGCUCCUCUGACGUUAGCGGCGGACGGGUGAGUAACACGUGGAUAACCUACCUAUAAGACUGGGAUAACUUCGGGAAACCGGAGCUAAUACCGGAUAAUAUAUUGAACAGCAUGGUUCAAUAGUGAAAGACGGUUUUGCUGUCACUUAUAGAUGGAUCCGCGCCGCAUUAGCUAGUUGGUAAGGUAACGGCUUACCAAGGCAACGAUGCGUAGCCGACCUGAGAGGAUGAUCGGCCACACUGGAACUGAGACACGGUCCAGACUCCUACGGGAGGCAGCAGUAGGGAAUCUUCCGCAAUGGGCGAAAGCUUGACGGAGCAACGCCGCGUGAGUGAUGAAGGUCUUCGGAUCGUAAAACUCUGUUAUUAGGGAAGAACAAAUGUGUAAGUAACUAUGCACGUCUUGACGGUACCUAAACAGAAAGCCACGGCUAACUACGUG
rnacentral:rRNA from 1 species